UGGGGAAUAUUGCACAAUGGGCGCAAGCCUGAUGCAGCCAUGCCGCGUGUGUGAAGAAGGCCUCGGUUGUAAAGCACUUCAGCGAGGAGGAAGGUGGUGGACUUAAUACGUUCAUCAAUUGACGUUACUCGCAGAAGAAGCACCGGCUAACUCCGUGCCAGCAGCCGCGGUAAUACGGAGGGUGCAAGCGUUAAUCGGAAUUACUGGGCGUAAAGCGCACGCAGGCGGUUUGUUAAGUCAGAUGUGAAAUCCCCGGGCUCAACCUGGGAACUGCAUUUGAAACUGGCAAGCUAGAGUCUCGUAGAGGGGGGUAGAAUUCCAGGUGUAGCGGUGAAAUGCGUAGAGAUCUGGAGGAAUACCGGUGGCGAAGGCGGCCCCCUGGACGAAGACUGACGCUCAGGUGCGAAAAGCGUGGGGAGCAAAACAGGAUUAGAUACCCUGGUAGUCCACGCUGUAAAACGAUGUCGAUUUUGGAGGUUGUGCCCUUGAGGCGUGGCUUCCGGAGCUAACGCGUUAAAUCGACCGCCUGGGGAGUACGGCC
rnacentral:rRNA from 1 species